rnacentral:lncRNA from 1 species
CGAGCAAAAAUGAAUAUUAAAUCUUAACAUUGGGAGAAUACUAGGAGUCUUUUUUUUUAUUUCUAUUUUUAUAUAUUUUUUAAUUUGCCAAUACUAGGAGUCUCAAAACCAAGUAGUGUCAUAUUUGAAUGAAUUUUUAUUUGAUCGACUGAAAGUAAAAAUCAUAAUUUUUUGGCAAGUACACAUAUGAACUCACACUCCUAAAUACUCAUAGCACCAACGAAUGGUGGACUCAGAUAAACACCCCACAAAUACAUAUACUUGAUGUGAAAAUUAACUUGACACACAAAUUAAACCCUAUGGAUGACAAUUGUAGUAUAUGAGCAAAUAGGGAUCGUUCUAACCGGGGAUUAACUAGGGAUGCUAAUCAAUGUGAAACUGACUCAAGAACAUAAAAACAUAAUGUAGAACACUAAACUAGACUCAAUUAAUGCAAAACUAGGGUUUAAAACACCUAAACAAACUAAAAACUCAAAACAGCAACUAGAAGGCUCAAAACUGCCUAAAAACCACUUUCAGGGCAGUUUUGAGCACCUACACUACUUUGGACGAAUUUGGACUAUGACUUGACUCAAAACACUUAAAAACACAACUAAAUGGAUUUCUAACUAAUCUAACACUUUAAAAUAAGUGGGGGAAUGAUUUUGACGAAAUUAAAACUUUAAAACUCAGACUUUAAAAACAAAUGUAAAGCAAAACAGAUUGUGAUUAAAUAGAAUGGUGAGAAGCUAGUUAGAGGGUUCCUUAUCCACACAUGAACAUAUGCAUACAACUCAAUCUCCAAUUACUCUUUCAACAAACCAUGAAUGACAAUGCCCCAAAUUAACUAGAUUGCACCAAUUAAUUCUCAGAUUUCCCUAGAUUCAUUGAAUUGAAUGGAAUACGCAUUACAACCAAAUUAUUCUUAUCAAUGACCCUAACUAUGGAAUACGCAUGAUAGAGACACAUAUCAAAGAUCAUUAAAUUCAAUGGAAAUCAUAAGCAUUGACGAGGCAUUCAUAACUAUGGGAUACGCAUGUUACUCUUGCCUAGGAUUUACUUAACGCAAUCGUGACUAGCGACUUUCACUACUUAUGAAUAUAAGUUAAUAACGAUUAGGUGAAAUUCCCUUAUACCCUAGCAUCAAGUUUAAGCAUGCAAAUUAAGUGUCGACCCUCAACCCACAUACAUAAACAAGUUAUCAAUCAAAUAGAUAAGUAAAUCACAUUCACAAUUUCUGAAAUCAUAAUUGGAAGAAAUCAAAUCAUAUAAAACAUAUGUCCAUGGCUUCAAAUUCACCUCUAACUAAAAAGAAAUUAGUUCCACAUGUCUAACAUAAUUGAACAACAAUCUAAAUUAAACAUGAAAACAGAAACAAAGAAAGAAAGAACUCCAAACACUCCACUAAUGGCAGAUUGCAUGUGCAAGGUGUAUUCCUCAUUUGGACUGCACGGCACUCCUUCUUUCUCCUCCUUUGGUGGCUGCACGAGGUGGUGAUGGUGGUGGAAAGGUGCGGCUAUGGUGGAUGAAUGGUUAUUUGAAUGGAAGGUUGCGGCAAGGUUGAAUUUGGGCAGAAAGUUGGGAGUUUGGGGAUGGAAGGCUGCGGCAAGAACUAGAACUAGGGUUUUGGCGUGUAGAAUGAAUAUGGGAGGUGAUAGGUUCGGCCAAGAGGUUUAAGAGAGUAUAUAUAGGCACUUAAAAACCCUAGCAAUCAGAUUAGGGUUUCUAGAAACCCAAAUCCACCAGAAAAUAGGUUAAAACAAUCAGAAUUUGCAAGGGAAAAGGCCUAGGGUUCGGCUGGUCUAGUGGGCUAGGGUUUAGGCUUCUAGAAUGCCUUGCAAGGCAAGGAAAUCAGAAAUUUUAAAGGCCUAGGUGCGGCAAAUUAGUGGGCUAGGGUUUGGGUUUGUAGAUAGGGCUUCUAGAAAGCCCAAAACCAAGAAUAGAAACUCUCGAAAAUGGAAACCUCCAAUAAUAGAAACUUCCAACUUUAGAAACUUUGGUUUCUAAUUCUGAAUUCUUUGUUCUUCACAUUCAUUUCUUCAUUUCUUAAGCUCCUUUGCCCUUCACUCUCGUCCAUUCCUUGUGCUCCAAGCAUGUACUUUCCAAUCUAAGCUCCAUUUUGCUCCAAAAGGCUCCAAUUUGCAUCCUUUUAUGUCAUAUGCCCUUUAAGCCUGAAAAAACAUGAAAGUAGCUCAAAAGACUACUUUAACGAAGAAAACAAAACGAAAAUGCAUAAGAACUAGCUAACUAAGGCGCAUAAAUAUGCUCCUAUCAAAUUCCCCCACACUUAGCUUUUGCUAGUCCUCGAGCAAAACAAAGAAACAAAAUGAAACAAAACGAAACAAAACAAACAAAAACAACCUAAACCUUCCAACAUUUGCCUCAGGGAUUUCCAAUGCACAUGACAAAUUAAAAAUUAUCAUUCCCACAGAUUUUAGCUAUCUUUACACUUAAGCACAUACUUAAUUAUAGUUACCACGUACUAGUUCGCAUUUAACCAAGUAAAACAUGAUUUUGAAUGUAGUAACAUGCCUUAGAGACUUUGCUCAAAUCCUCACUAGCUAUGCACUCAAUUUUCACACAGAUUUUCUGACUACACACCCUAUACUAGUUAUAUGUGAGAAGAUUGAUGUAAAUAUGAAAACGAAUGCUCACAUAUGUUAUAACAAGGAAAGCUUUUUCUGAACUUAAUAAGCAUGUAUAUGAUCUCAUGAAAGGAAUGCUACUACUUAGACGCGAGAACCAGUGACACCAUAUGCUCAUACCAAUCCCAAACUCCACAAAUUGAAAUACACAACACUCAAGAUAGAAGUUAAGGGUUGUAACGGGGCUUGGGGUAUUGGCUAACAAAGAAAGGUGAAGGGUAAACAAACGUUCUUAAAACAAUAGUAAGCAAAGCAAUGAAAUUGACACUUAGAAUUCACUUUUGAAUGCAAAAAUCAACUUUUAAACUCAAAGGGGAAAUUCAUGCAACACUUAGGGUCAAAUUCACUGUUUUGGACCCAUUCUUCAACAACCAACACCUUAGAGCUCAUUUUCAUGCUCUUUCAACUCUUUUUCACACUUUUCACAUUUUUUUUUCUUUUCUUUUUCUUUUCUACCCCAUGCCUCAUUUAAGACUUUGGCACAAAAUACACAAGGCUCACUUUCCCCCACACUUGUUUUCUGCACACCCUUGAUCAAAAGGAAUUCAUUUUAAGUCAUGCUUACUAUGCUUUAAGAACAAGAGUAUGGAUGGUCCUAAUCUAGGCUAGGUAAGGAUAACGUGGGUUAACAAACAAUAUAGGCUAAACAAGGCUCAACGGGGCUAAAACCUACAAAAAACAAAUGUAUGGAAUGAAGGCUUUUUGGCUAUGGUGUUGUAACUACUACAACUUCAUCUUGAAUACGUGUUAUGCAAUUCAAUGAAAUGUUUUGAAUGAAAUUGGCAUGAGUUCUAGCAUUUGGAACUAAAGUGAUGAAACGCCUUCUAAGUAAUAACCAAACAAAGAAUAGUGAGAUCAUGCAACGACUUUAGAAAACAAGAAUGCACCGAUUUUAACUCUCCAAAUAAUGUUUAGGCUCAAGUCUCACAAGGUUGUAGCGUUAGUUUGAGUUCCUUCCUUCAAACAUGUUACAAAAACUAAUUUUUUUCUUUAUGAUUACAUGUGAAUUCAUAAGUUAUAACCACAACCAAGCAUAAACCAAGAGUAAAUCAAACUUUCAUCCAUGUUUAUAACUCUCUUUAACAGUCAUGCAAUUAAAAACCGAAUCCUCAUCAUUGUGUUGGAAGGUACCCUAAGACACAAACAAACACACAAAAACAACUUAAAAACGACUCUAUUUGGGUUUUGUAAAACAAUUUUUCAAAUUUUUAUGGGAUUUUCGGAUUUUUGAAUCAAAACACAUUAAAACACACCAAAACAGCCUAAAAACGCCUAAAAACAGCAAGAAACAACAUUGGAAAUUAUGAGUGAGAAAACCCUACGAAAUUGCAUCAAAACACUUUGGUUACCCCUCCACACUUAAACCAAACAUUGUCCUCAAUGUUUUAAGCAUAGACUCACACAAAAACACAUAAACAAACAAACAAACACUAACAACCGAACAUGGCAGAAACGAAAUAAACAACAAAGAGAAGGGUUUAGGAACGCAAAUCUGGAAUUGGAGUGCUCUCUAGGUCUUCCUUUGUCGCAUGCAUGGGUUGCCUCCUAAGAAGCGCUUGCUUUAACGUCUUCCAGCCGGACGGUACCUCCGUUUAAGCUUGACUAUGUGCCACGGCAUGGAGGGGUACCUCCUCCACGACAUGCUCCUCAAACAUCUCGUAAUAGGGCUUCAAUCGAUGCCCAUUCACUUUGAAUUCUUGUUGCGUCCUUGCACUCUUUAUUUGCACUGCACCAUGAGGGAAAACAUUAGUGACAAUAAAAGGACCAACCCAUUUGGAACGCAACUUACCCGGAAACAACCGAAUGCGAGAAUUGAACAACAACACUUUCUGCCUAAUAGAGAACGUCUUGGCACGAAUCAUCUUGUCAUGGAAUGCUUUCGUUUUCUCCUUGUAAAUCCGGGCAUUCUCAUAUGCUUCAUUUCGGAUUUCCUCAAGCUCACACAAUUGGAGCUUCCUAUGUAAACCUGCGGCAUCAAGGUCCAUGUUAAACGUUUUGACGGCCCAGUGUGCACGAUGCUCUAACUCGACGGGAAGAUGGCAUGGCUUCCCAUAGAUGAGCCGAAAAGGUGACAUCCCAAUGGGGUUUUGUAGGCAGUGCGAUACGCCCACAAUGCAUCGUUUUAAGCGCAAACUCCAAUCCUUCCUCGUAGGCCCCACGGUCUUCUCAAGAAUUUGCUUGAUUUCCCUAUUCGAAACCUCGGCUUGCCCGCUCGUUUGAGGAUGAUAAGGUGUGGCCACCUUAUGCGUGACAUUGUAUUUCUUGAGCAACGCCUCGAUGGUUCGAUUACAAAAAUGGGAACCUCCAUCAUUGAUGAGCACGCGUGACAUUCCGAACCUUGCAAAAAUGUUAAUUUUCACAAAAUCUGCAACCACUCGAGAAUCAUCAUUAGUUCGGGUGGCUUUUGCUUCCACCCACUUCGACACAUAAUCCACAGCAAGUAAUAUAUAAAAGAAAUCCAUGUGACGAAGGAAAGGGACCCAUAAAAUCAAUACCCCAAACAUCAAAUAUUUCAACACUAAAAAUGGGGGUUUGCGGCAUUUGUUGUUUAGGACCUAUAUUGCCCGUUCUUUGGCAUCUAUCACAAGACAUGCAAAAUGUUCUAGCAUCCCUAAAGAUGGUAGGCCAAUAGAAACCACAUUCUAAUACCUUAAGUGCUGUUCUAUUUAGUGCCAAAGUGUCCCCCACAAGCAUAAGUGUGACAAAAUGUUAGAAUAGCAUUAAACUCAGAAUCGUGCACACACCUACGUAUAACUUGGUUCAGGGCAAUAUUUCCAUAAAUACGGGUCAUCCCACACAUAAACCGUGCCUCUUUCUUCAAUUUAUCACCUUGGUGUUUAAGUAAUUCACUAGGAACAUGUUUAGACACCAAAUAAUUCACCAAAUCAGCAUACCACGGUUCACUUACCUUGACGGACAUCAGUUGCUCAUCUGGGAAUGUCUCCAUGAUAGGUACGGCAUCCUCUCAUGUACCAUACGGCUCAAGUGGUCAGCCACCACGUUUUCACUUCCCUUCUUGUCCCGGAUUUCGAUAUCGAAACUCUUGGAGAAGAAGCAUCCAACGAAUGAGUCGUGGUUUGGCCUCCUUCUUGGUGAACAAAUACUUCAAUGUUGCAUGGUCAGUAUAAAUAAUAACUUUAGUACCAAGCAAAUAAGAACGGAAUUUAUCUAAAGCAAAAUACAACAGCUAGAAGUUCUUUUUCAGUGGUGGAAUAAUUCAAUUGUGCAUCAUUUAAAAGUCCGAGAGGCAUAAUAGAUAGCAUGCGGCCUCUUGUCCUUCCUUUGCCCCAAAAACAGCUCCUAAUGCAUAAUCGGAAGCGUCGCACAUAAGCUCAAAAGGAAGGCUCCAAUCCGGUGGAACUAUGAUAGGGGCCGAAGUUAGCAUGUCCUUUAGGUGAUUGAACGCCUUCUCACACUCCUUGUUGAAGUCAAACGCCACAUCUUUCUGGAGGAGACGGUAAAGAGGGUUUGAGAUCUUGGAGAAGUCCUUGAUAAAUCGCCUAUAAAAUCCUGCAUGACCAAGAAACGAACGAACCUCUCGAACCGAAGUAGAGAGGGUAAGUAGCGUACAAGAUCUAUUUUCGAUUUAUCCACUUCAAAUUCCCCUUUCUGAAACAAUAUGCCCUAGAACUAUGCCUUGUCUAACCAUAAAGUGACAUUUUUCCAAAUUAAAGCACUAGGUUAGUUUCUACACAUCGUUUCAAAAAUUAGUGUGAGAUUUUCCAAACAUCCAUCAAAUGAAUCACCAAAACACACUGAAAUCAUCCAUAAAUACCUCAAUAAUCUUUUCCAACAAAAUCUGAAAAGAUACUUACCAAUACACCUUUGAAAUGUGGCCGGAGCAUUGCAUAACCCAAAAGGCAUGCGACGAUAAGCAAAGGUACCAAAGGGGCAUGUGAAAGUUGUCUUUUCUUGGUCAUCCGGCGCAUACAAAUCUGAUUAUAUCCAGAAUAACCAUCAAGGAAACAAUAAAAAGAAUGACCGGCUAACCUUUCAAGCAUUUGAUCAAUGAACGGCAAAGGGAAGUGGUCCUUCCUUGUGGUGGCGUUGAGCUUCCUAUAAUCAAUGCACACUCGCCAACCUGUUUGGAUACGGGUCGGCACAAGCUCAUUCUCGGCAUUCUUCACCACGGUCACUCCGGACUUCUUUGGAACACAUUGCACCGGUGACACCCAACGACUAUCAGAGAUCGGAUAAAUCACUCCACAAUCAAGAAGUUUGAUAAUCUCCUUUUUCACAACUUCCAUCAUUGGAGGGUUGAGACGGCGCUGAGCCUCUCGAGUUGGUUUAGCCCCCUCCUCUAGAAGUAUGCGAUGCAAUGCACGUAGUUGGGCUAAUUCCCCUAAUAUCGGCCAAAGUCCACCCAAUGGCCGUCUUGUGCUCUUUCAACACUCGGAUCAACUUCUCCUCCUCUAGGGCCGUGAGUGAUGAGGAGACAAUGACGGGCAAUGUCUCGUUGUCUCCCAGAAAGACGUACUUUAAAUGAUCGGGUAACGGUUUAAGCUCAAGUACGGGUGCCUGAAUCACUGAGGGUAAGAUCUUAUUAGUGGAAACUGGAAUUGAAAUUGGGUUAGAAGGCUUACCAUGGUGUUGAGGGAGUGACUCAAGGGCAGCCACUAUCUCGGCCUCAUCCUCACUUCUAGGCACGGCAACACCAUUUUUGUGCCCAAUUCCUUGUGCAAUUGUCGUUUCAAGUGUAUCCCUCUCCAAACAAUCGAGAAAAUCCUGCGCCAAAUCAUCAAUUAUAUCAAUAGAAAAGCAAGAAUGAUCGUCCUUAGGAAAUUUAAUACUUUCAGAAAGAUUAAAAUCAAUGACUUCCCCAUCAAAUUCCAUCGUUAAAGUUCCUUUAAACACAUCUAUCUUGGUGCGGGCUGUUUUCAUGAAGGGCCUCCCUAAUAGAAUCGGCAAUGGGGAAGAAUGGGGUGAGUCCUCCAUGUCAAGCACGUAAAAGUCCGCUGGAAAAAUCAAAUUACCAACCUGCACCAAAACAUCUUCCAAAACACCCUUUGGGUAUGCAUUAGAACGAUCGGCUAAUUGAAUUAUCACACCAUCAUUUUUAAGCUCACCUAAGUUCAUAGAUGCAUAAAUCGAGUAUGGCAUGACAUUAAUCGAAGCCCCUAAGUCUAACAUGCAUUGUUCAAACUUAGUAUUACCAAUAACGCACGGAAUUGUAAAACUACCCGGAUCUUUGAAUUUAGGGGGUAAUUUCCUUUGUAACACAAGCAGAGACGUUUCACUUACCUGGACCACCUCUUUUGUUCGAAAUCCUUCUCCUUGUUGUACAAAGUUCUUUUAAGAACUUAGCAUACCUCGGGACUUGCUUAAUCGCAUCAAGGAGCGGGAUAUUGACUUGAACUUUCCGAAAGGUCUCUAGAAUAUCCUUCUCGGCUUCUUCCUUCUUUGAUUGCCUAAACCUGCCAGGAAAGGGCACAUUUAGUGGAAUAGAACUAGAAAAAGUCGAAUUGGGACUUACCUUGGUGGUUGGGGACGGUUUAGGAGGGUUAGAGGGUGGCGGCAAGGAUUGGUCAUCCUUGGCCGUGGCUUUUGCUCUUUGUGCCUCCUCUUGCAUCAACUUGUCCUCCUCGUCUUGACUUGAUUUGGAUGUAUUUGAGUCCGCUCCAACCUGUUUACCACUUCUCAACAUGAUGGCCUUAGCGGUUUCAAAUCCUCCCUUCGGGUUCACAACGGUUGAACUAGGCAAUCUGCCUUGUUCUCUAAUUUGCCCCAUAAACUCUGCAAUUUGACCCAUCUGCUUCUCCAAGUUGUCCACCCGUUUGUCUUGGAUUUGUCUCUCCUUAUUUGAGUUUGUACUUCCUGCGUCAAAGUAGUAAGUAACUUAACAACUUGAUCAUUAUCCAAAGACGUACCUGAGGUUGGUGGGGCGGUUUGCACUUGGUUUUGAUUGGGACGAAUGACUUUGUAUAAAAGCCCGGUGGUUGCGCUAAAUCUCCUGUUGUUGGGUUGUUGAGGAUCCCGCCAUUUGAAAAUUCGGAGGUCCCUCCACCCGGAUUGUGUAGGAUUAGAGUAUGGAUCAUGGUGUGGUUUGAUUUUGGUUCCCAAAACCCACGGCAUUGGCAGCUUCCUAACCCCAUUCUCAAUCAAUUGAGGGCAUUGAUCAUUGGCAUGUCCUGCAUCGAGCACACGCCACACACACUUGGUCCAUGAAUCUUCAUUCCCUCGGCUAACUGAGAAACAAUAGAAGUAAGGUUAGCUAAUUGAGAUUGAAUCUCGGGGCAUAGAACUUACCUCAUUCACUUGUGGCCGUGGGGGGUCCCUUUGUCCAACACCUUCGUAUUGUUGUGCAUUAUGUGCUCGGUUGGCAAUUAGAACUUUUGCAGCCCCCGGAGUUUUAUCCACCAACGCACCCCCCGCCGAGGCAUCAAGCAUUUGGCGUUCCAUGGAAAGGAGUCCUCGUAGAAAUAUUGAAUGAGCAGCUUCUUCUCAUUUGAUGAUGUGGACAAGAAGCAAAAGUGUUUAAAAACGUUCAUAAUAAGAAGGAAACGAUUCACCUUGAUUUUGUUGGAUGCCACUUAAUCCGUUUCCUCAAGAGAAUGACUCUUGAAGUGGGAAAAACUUCUCCAAGAACGCUCUUUUCAUACUAUCCCAAGAUGUAACCGUUCCGGGUGCUAACUCGUAAAAGCCAAUCUUUCGCCUUUUCCAAAAGUGAGAAUGGAAAGGCCUUCAUCAUCAGAAUACUCCCGUCAACAUUGAUGGGUGUCAUGCUCGAACAAACAACCUCGAACUCCUUGAGAUGCUUGUUGGGAUCUUCCAUGGAAAGCCCAUGGUAUUUCGGAAUGUGGUGCAACAAGCUUGACUUCAACUCAAAUUCGUCGGUCUUGCCUUGGGCAGCCGCGGGGUAUUGAAUGCAUAAUGGUGCGGCAUUGGCCAACCCCCGAGGCCGAAAGCUCUUUAAUGGUCCGAUUGUCCGUGGCCAUAACUUCUUCUUCCUCUUCUUCAAACUCAGAUUCGGCCUCUGAACUUGAACUAGGUUCACUAGGUUCGGGAUGCCUCCUAUUUCUUCUCAAAUCACGUUCAAAAUCGUCGUUGAAAUCCAAUAUGUGUGCAUGCACAGUUUGAAGCUCCGCGUCAUGCACUAGUACCUAAACCAAGAAAACAAAACAAAAUAAGAAAACUAAGUAAUUUAUACUAAAAACACACGGCAAUAACACAAGGGAUUAGCAAUUUUGCUAAUCCCCGCAACGGCGCCAAAAUUUGAUGUGAAAAUUAACUUGACACACAAAUUAAACCCUAUGGAUGACAUUUGUAAGUAUAUGAGCAAAUAGGGAUCGUUCUAACCGGGGAUUAACUAGGGAUGCUAAUCAAUGUGAAACUGACUCAAGAACAUAAAAACAUAAUGUAGAACACUAAACUAGACUCAAUUAAUGCAAACUAGGGGUUUAAAACACCUAAACAAACUAAAAACUCAAAACAGCAACUAGAAGACUCAAAACUGCCUAAAAACCACUUUCUGGGCAGUUUUGAGCACCUACACUACUUUGGACGAAUUUGGACUAUGACUUGACUCAAAACACUUAAAAACACAACUAAAUGGAUUUCUAACUAAUCUAACACUUUAAAAU